GUAUUAUCUGUCUAUUGGCAGCUGCUCUACCUAACUAUCUCUCUAGUAUUAUCCCUCUAUUGGCAGCUGCUCUACCUAACUAUCUCUCUAGUAUUAUCUGUCUAUUGGCAGCUGCUCUACCUAGCUAUCUCUCUAGUAUUAUCUGUCUAUUGGCAGCUGCUCUACCUAACUAUCUCUCUAGUAUUAUCCCUCUAUUGGCAGCUGCUCUACCUAGCUAUCUCUCUAGUAUUAUCUGUCUAUUGGCAGCUGCUGGGAACCAGAGCCAUAUAUACAUGUGUAUACAUAUAGUACGGCUCUGUUGGAUCUAUUACAACAUAAUCAUCUGUCUGAUAUGAGCCUGGGGUUAGUCAGUAGUCUGUAGUCUGGGUUAGUCUGUAGUCUGGGUUAGUCAGUAGUCUGGGUUAGUCAGUAGUCAGUAGUCUGGGUUAGUCAGUAGUCAGUAGUCUGGGUUAGUCAGUAGUCUGGGUUAGUCAGUAGUCUGGGUUAGUCAGUAGUCUGUAGUCUGGGUUAGUCUGUAGUCUGGGUUAGUCAGUAGUCUGGGUUAGUCAGUAGUCAGUAGUCUGGGGUUAGUCAGUAGUCUGGGGUUAGUCAGUAGUCUGGGGUUAGUCAGUAGUCAGUAGUCUGGGUUAGUCAGUAGUCUGGGUUAGUCAGUAGUCUGGGGUUAGUUAGUAGUCAGUAGUCUGGGUUAGUCAGUAGUCAGUAGUCUGGGUUAGUCAGUAGUCUGGGUUAGUCAGUAGUCUGGGGUUAGUCAGUAGUCAGUAGUCUGGGUUAGUCAGUAGUCUGGGUUAGGGUUAGUCAGUAGUCUGGGGUUAGUCAGUAGUCUGGUCUGGGGUUAGUCAGUAGUCUGGGUUAGUCAGUAGUCUGGGUUAGGGUUAGUCAGUAGUCUGGGUUAGUCAGUAGUCUGGGUUAGGGUUAGUCAGUAGUCUGGGGUUAGUCAGUAGUCUGGGUUAGGGUUAGUCAGUAGUCUGGGUUAGUCAGUAGUCUGGGUUAGGGUUAGUCAGUAGUCUGUCUGAUUAGGAACCUUCAGGAGGAAGUAGUAGCCAGCCUUCCUGUUUUGUACUGUGUAUCUUAACUACAACCAGCACUAUGCUGACCCAUGUCGCCUGCUGCCUGCCUGCUGCCCUGGUUUGUCAGCAUUGUCUGUCCAUCAUUCUAUCUAGAGCCAUCACUAUAACACUUGCUGUUGAAGUCACAUACACUACAUGGCUAAAAGUAUGUGGACACGCCUUCAAAUUAGUGGAUUCGGCUAUUUCAGCCAGACCCGUUGCUGACAGGUGUAUAAAAUCGAGCACACAGCCAUGCAAUCUCCAUAGACAAACAUUGGCAGUUGAAUGGCCUGUACUGAAGAGCUUAGUGACUUUCAAUGUGGCACCAUCACAGGAUGCCCACCUUUCCAAUAAGUCAAUUCGUCAAAUUCGUAGGUAGGCCACACAAGCUCACAGAACGGGACCGCCGAGUGAUGAAGUGCGUAAAAAUUGUCUGUCCUCAGUUGCAACACUCACUACCAAGUUCCAAACUGCCUCUUGGAAGCAACGUCAGCACAAGAACUGUUUGUCAGGAGCUUCAUGAAAUGGGUUUCCAUGGCUGAGCAGCAACACACAAGCCUAAGAUCACCAUGCGCAAUGCCAAGCGUCGGCUGGAGCGGUGUAAAACUCGCUGCAAUUGGACUCUGGAGCAGUGGAAAAGCGUUCUCUGGAGUGAUGAAUCACACUUCACCACAGUCCGUUGGACAUAUCUGGGUUUGGCGGAUGCCAGUAGAACGCUACUUGCCUGAAUGCAUAAUGCCAACUGUAAAGUUUGGUGGAGGAGGAAUAAUGGUCUGGGGCUUGUUUUUCACGCGUCGAGCUAAGCCUCUUAGUUCCAGUGAAGGGAAAUCUUAAUGCUGCAACAUACAAAACAUACAAUGACAUUCUAGAUGAUUCUGUGCUUCCAACUUUGCGGCAACAGUUUUUAUUUUAUUUGUAUUUAUUUAACGAGGCAGGUUUGGGGAAAGCUCUUUUCUGUUUCAGCAUGUUAAUGCCCCCGUGCACAAAGCGAGGUCCAUACAGAAAUGGUUUGUCGAGAUCGGUGUGGAAGAACUUGACUGGCCUUCACAGAGCCCUGACCUCAACCCCAUCGAACACCUUUGGGAUGAAUUGGAACGCCGACUGCGAGCCAGGCCCUAAUCGCCCAACAUCAGUGUCCGACCUCACUAAUGCUCUUAUGGCUGAAUGGAAGGAAGUCCCCCGCAGUAAUGUUCCAACAUCUAGUGGAAAGCCUUCCCAGAAGAGUGGAGGCUGUUAUAGCAGCAAAAGGGGGGGGGGGGACCAACUCCAUAUUAAUUCUCAUGAUUUUGGAAUGAGAUGUUCGACGAAAAGGUGUCCACAUACUUUUGGUCACGUAGUGUAUCAUGGUUGAAUUCCACAGCCUUUAUAUCAAGGCUCAUGACAAUAAAUGUUUUUAAUGGUGUUGUUACCAGAGUAUGAAGAUAGCUUGGAUUGAACAGUGACUGUUCUAUGGUAGCUACAACAAAUGGGCUUCAGAGCAAAGCAGGUUUAAAGAGAUUUUAUCAGGUCUAUUUAUAUAUAGGUUAAUCAGACUCAUGUUUUCUCUCUUUCUGACUCUCUCUCUUUUCUCUGUCUUUCACUUUCUUACGCUCUCUUUCUUUCGCUGUGCUUCUGUCUCUCCGUCCCUCAAGUUACAGGUGACUUACCCCUGUGUUUCUGUGUCAGUGUCUUCUUCAGCUGUAAUCAUUCUUCUCAACUCGAAAGUACCCAACACGGUUUUUUUUUGUCCCGCCUUCCUUCCUUCCUUCUUCUCCUUUUGAAUGGCAUUAUGAUCAACCAAUCCUGUCAAUUUCCUAUAUAAUCCAGUGUACAGUGCAAUGGGAACCAGGAAGAAUAAUAAAAUCAAAGCAAAUAGCUGCAUGGAAUAAACUCUGAUGUACUGUACCAAACACAUCUCUCUUU
rnacentral:lncRNA from 1 species